UACGUAGGGGGCUAGCGUUGUCCGGAUUUAUUGGGCGUAAAGAGCGUGUAGGCGGCCAGGUAGGUCCGUUGUGAAAACUCGAGGCUCAACCUCGAGCUGUCGAUGGAAACCAUCUGGCUAGAGUCCGGAAGAGGAGAGUGGAAUUCCCGGUGUAGCGGUGAAAUGCGCAGAUAUCGGGAAGAACACCCGUGGCGAAGGCGGCUCUCUGGGACGGUACUGACGCUGAGACGCGAAAGCGUGGGGAGCGAACAGG
rnacentral:rRNA from 1 species